UCAACUCUUGAGAUGAUGCAAUUGUGGGC
rnacentral:piRNA from 1 species